rnacentral:rRNA from 1 species
AGAUUGAACGCUGGCGGCAGGCCUAACACAUGCAAGUCGAGCGGCAGCACGGGUACUUGUACCUGGUGGCGAGCGGCGGACGGGUGAGUAAUGCCUAGGAAUCUGCCUGGUAGUGGGGGAUAACGCUCGGAAACGGACGCUAAUACCGCAUACGUCCUACGGGAGAAAGCAGGGGACCUUCGGGCCUUGCGCUAUCAGAUGAGCCUAGGUCGAUUAGCUAGUUGGUGAGGUAAUGGCUCAUCAAGGCGACGAUCCGUAAUGGUCUGAGAGGAUGAUCAGUCACUACUGGAACUGGAGACACGGUCCAGACCUCCGUACGGGAGCAGCAGGUAGGGAAUGUGGAACAGUCGGGACAACGCCUAGACUCC